CACGUAGGGUGCGAGCGUUGUCCGAAAUUAUUGGGCGUAAAGAGCUCGUAGGCGGUGUGUCGCGUCGGCCGUGAAAACCUGCAGCUUAACUGUGGGCUUGCGGUCGAUACGGGCAUCACUGGAGUUCGGCAGGGGAGACUGGAAUUCCUGGUGUAGCGGUGAAAUGCGCAGAUAAUCAGGAGGAACACCGGUGGCGAAGGCGGGUCUCUGGGCCGAUGACUGACGCUGAGGAGCGAAAGCGUGGGGAGCGAACAGGA
rnacentral:rRNA from 1 species